rnacentral:rRNA from 1 species
GCUCAAAGUUGGAACCUGGCUGUCUUAGAUAGUCCGGAUUGUAAACUAAAGAGCGUGAAUCCAGGCAAGCCGGUUGAUCAAGUCCUUUGGAAUGAGGCGCCACUGAGGGUGAGAGCCCCGUAAAUCGACUGAGCAUUUGUCUUUUGUGUUUCGCGUUCAAAGAGUCAGGUUGUUUGGGAAUGCAGCCUAAAGCUGGUGGUAAAUCCCACCUAAAGCUAAAUACAGGCGAGAGACCGAUAGCGAACAAGUACCGUGAGGGAAAGAUGAAAAGUACUUUGAAAAGAGAGUUAAACAGUAUGUGAAAUUGCCAAGAGGGAAGCAUUUGGAGUUAGACUGACUUGAAGUUAAUCAGCUUGGUCUUUGGACUGGGUGUACUUGACUUCUAUGUCUGCCAAUAGCAGUUAGUCCUGGUGGAAAAAACUGAAGGGAAGGUAGUCCUUCGGGAUGUUUAUAGACCUUUGGAAAAUACACUGGGAUUGACUGAGGAAUGCAGUAGAUGCUAUUAAGGCUUCGUCUAGUAGGUGUUAGGUGAAGGUACUUGGUAUUUUCAGCUUGCUGAUGUGCUAGGUUACUUGAGCUUAAUUGCUUGCUAGAACUGUAAUCUA